rnacentral:rRNA from 1 species
CCUACGGGAGGCAGCAGUGGGGAAUAUUGGACAAUAGGGGCAACCCUGAUCCAGCCAUGCCGCGUGUGUGAAGAAGGCCCUCGGGUUGUAAAGCACUUUCAGUGAGGAAGAACGCCUGGUGGUUAAUACCCAUCAGGAAAGACAUCACUCACAGAAGAAGCACCGGCUAACUCCGUGCCAGCAGCCGCGGUAAUACGGAGGGUGCGAGCGUUAAUCGGAAUUACUGGGCGUAAAGCGCGCGUAGGUGGCUUGAUAAGCCGGUUGUGAAAGCCCCGGGCUCAACCUGGGAACGGCAUCCGGAACUGUCAAGCUAGAGUGCAGGAGAGGAAGGUAGAAUUCCCGGUGUAGCGGUGAAAUGCGUAGAGAUCGGGAGGAAUACCAGUGGCGAAGGCGGCCUUCUGGACUGACACUGACACUGAGGUGCGAAAGCGUGGGUAGCAAACAGGAUUAGAUACCCCUGUAGUC